rnacentral:rRNA from 1 species
UACGAAGGGAGCUAGCGUUGUUCGGAAUUACUGGGCGUAAAGGGCGCGUAGGCGGUUCGAUUAGUCAGAUGUGAAAGCCCUGGGCUCAACCCGGGAACUGCGUUUGAUACUGUCGAGCUUGAAUUUGGUAGAGGUAAGUGGAAUUCCCAGUGUAGAGGUGAAAUUCGUAGAGAUUGGGAAGAACAUCCGUGGCGAAGGCGGCUUACUGGACCAACAUUGACGCUGAGGCGCGAAAGCGUGGGGAGCAAACAGG